rnacentral:rRNA from 1 species
GAGUUUGAUUAUGGCUCAGAUUGAACGCUGGCGGCAUGCCUAACACAUGCAAGUCGAACGAGGUAGCAAUACCUAGUGGCGGACGGGUGAGGAAUACGUAGGGAUCUGCCCUUAAGUGGGGGAUAACCCGGGGAAACCCGGAUUAAUACCGCAUGAUCUCGAGAGAGCAAAGCAGGGGACCGCAAGGCCUUGCGCUUUUGGAGGAACCUACGUCGGAUUAGCUAGUUGGUGAGGUAACGGCUCACCAAGGCGACGAUCCGUAACUGGUCUGAGAGGAUGAUCAGUCACACCGGAACUGAGACACGGUCCGGACUCCUACGGGAGGCAGCAGUGGGGAAUAUUGGACAAUGGGCGAAAGCCUGAUCCAGCAAUGCCGCGUGUGUGAAGAAGGCCUUCGGGUUGUAAAGCACUUUAAGUUGGGAAGAAAAAGCUCUGGCUAACAUCUAGAGCCUUGACGGUACCAACAGAAUAAGCACCGGCUAACUCUGUGCCAGCAGCCGCGGUAAUACAGAGGGUGCUAGCGUUAAUCGGAUUUACUGGGCGUAAAGCGUGCGUAGGCGGUUUGAUAAGUCGAUUGUGAAAGCCCCGGGCUUAACCUGGGAAUUGCAGUUGAUACUGUCAGACUCGAAAACGGUAGAGGGAGGCGGAACUCCAGGUGUAGCGGUGAAAUGCGUAGAUAUCUGGAAGAACACCGAUGGCGAAGGCAACCUCCUGGGCCUGUUUUGACGCUGAGGCACGAAAGCGUGGGUAGCAAACAGGAUUAGAUACCCUGGUAGUCCACGCCGUAAACGAUGAGAACUUGACGUUGGUUUGCUUAGCAAAUCGGUGUCGUAGCUAACGCGAUAAGUUCUCCGCCUGGGGAGUACGGCCGCAAGGUUGAAACUCAAAGGAAUUGACGGGGCCCGCACAAGCGGUGGAGUAUGUGGUUUAAUUCGAUGCAACGCGAAGAACCCUUACCCUGGUCUUGACAUGUCAAGGAGUCUGCAGAGAUGCGAUGUGCCUUCGGAACUUGGACACAGUGCUGCAUGCUGUCGUCAGCUCGUGUCGUGAGAUGGUGACUAGUCCCGCACCGGGCCUAAUCUUGC